rnacentral:rRNA from 1 species
GAGGAAUAUUGCACAAUGGGCGCAAGCCUGAUGCAGCGACGCCGCGUGUGGGAUGAAGGGGCUACGCCUCGUAAACCACUGUAGCCCGGGACGAAAAACGCCUUAGAGUCGUUAGACGGUACCGGGAAAGUAAGGGUCGGCUAACUACGUGCCAGCAGCCGCGGUAAUACGUAGGACCCAAGCGUUGUCCGGAUUUACUGGGUGUAAAGGGUGCGCAGGCGGAUGGGUAAGUCAGGGGUGAAAGUCUGCAGCUUAACUGUAGAAUUGCCUUUGAUACUGCUCAUCUUGAGUGUGGGAGAGGUUGAUGGAAUUCCAGGUGUAGCAGUGAAAUGCGUAGAUAUCUGGAAGAACACCAGUGGCGAAGGCGGUCAACUGGCCCAUAACUGACGCUCAUGCACGAAAGCGUGGGGAGCAAACA